GACGAACGCUGGCGGCGUGCUUAACACAUGCAAGUCGAACGGGCUGCUGGGGUUCUGGCUUUUUUGGUUGGGGUUCUGGGGGUUAGUGGCGAACGGGUGAGUAACACGUGAGUAACCUGCCCUUCACUUCUGGAUAACCGCUUGAAAGGGUGGCUAAUACGGGAUGUUUCUGGGUCUGUCGCAUGGCGGGUUCGGGGAAGAUGGCACUGUUUGGUGUUUUUGGUGGGGGAUGGGCUCGCGGCCUAUCAGCUUGUUGGUGGGGUGAUGGCCUGCCAAGGCUUUGACGGGUAGCCGGCCUGAGAGGGUGGGCGGUCACACUGGGACUGAGAUACGGACCAGACUCCUACGGGAGGCAGCAGUGGGGAAUAUUGCACAAUGGGCGGAAGCCUGAUGCAGCGACGUCGCGUGAGGGAUGGAGGCCUUCGGGUUGGGAACCUCUUUCGCGAGUGAGGAAGGUCUUGCCCGUGUGGUGGGGUUGACGGUAGCUGGGGUAAUUGAAGCGCCGGCUAACUACGUG
rnacentral:rRNA from 1 species